rnacentral:rRNA from 1 species
AGCGAACGCUGGCGGCAGGCCUAACACAUGCAAGUCGAACGAACUCUUCGGAGUUAGUGGCGGACGGGUGAGUAACACGUGGGAACGUGCCUUUAGGUUCGGAAUAACUCAGGGAAACUUGUGCUAAUACCGAAUGUGCCCUUCGGGGAAAGAUUUAUCGCCUUUAGAGCGGCCCGCGUCUGAUUAGCUAGUUGGUGAGGUAAAGGCUCACCAAGGCGACGAUCAGUAGCUGGUCUGAGAGGAUGAUCAGCCACAUUGGGACUGAGACACGGCCCAAACUCCUACGGGAGGCAGCAGUGGGGAAUCUUGCGCAAUGGGCGAAAGCCUGACGCAGCCAUGCCGCGUGAAUGAUGAAGGUCUUAGGAUUGUAAAAUCCCUUCACCGGGGACGAUAAUGACGGUACCCGGAGAAGAAGCCCCGGCUAACUUCGUGCCAGCCGCCGCUGUAAC